AUUGAACGCUGGCGGCAUGCCUUACACAUGCAAGUCGAACGGUAACAGGUCUUCGGCUGCUGACGAGUGGCGAACGGGUGAGUAAUACAUCGGAACGUGCCCGAUCGUGGGGGAUAACGAGGCGAAAGCUUUGCUAAUACCGCAUACGAUCUACGGAUGAAAGCGGGGGAUCUUCGGACCUCGCGCGGACGGAGCGGCCGAUGGCAGAUUAGGUAGUUGGUGGGAUAAAAGCUUACCAAGCCGACGAUCUGUAGCUGGUCUGAGAGGAUGAUCAGCCACACCGGGGAUGGGAAACCGGCCCAAAACCCCACGGGGGGCAGAGGGGGGGAAUUUGGGAAAAGGGGGGAAACCCUGUCCCAGCCAUGCCGGGGGAAGGAAGAAGGCCUUCGGGUGUUAAACUGUUUUUGUAGGGAAAAAAAAGCCUUUUUCAAAAAAAGGGGGGUAAUGACGGUCCCGAAAAAAAAAGCACCGGCUAACUACGU
rnacentral:rRNA from 1 species